UUGUAACAUUGUGGGAUCUUCAUGAUUAUAGCAACAAGAAGACUGUCAUCACAUAUGAGGCAGUUGAAGCUGUUUGUACAAUUGGUGCUGGGAGUCUUUUUGCUUCAUCUUUGGAUUCAUAUCGGCAAAGUUCAAAAAAACACACUAGUUCUCAAGCAUUGUAUUUUGUUACGGUUGGUGAGCGAGGCAUUGUGCCCUUAUUGAGUUCUGAAGGGAAAUUUGAAGAUCCGUGGUUUGGGUCGGGGAGAUGCAUCCUUGUUGGAGAAUUACUGAAUUGCAAAAAUAUUGACUCGAUAUUUCAAAGGGUUGUUAACGAAGAUCUUCGCCACAAACACUCAAAUUUACUUAGAGAUAGUUGGAGUGCGAUAUGUUGCCUAAGCUGCCAUACUCUCAAAUGCACUUGACAAGUAUCAUUUAAAUAUAUUUAAAGAAGAAAUUUAGAGAUUUCAACUUAGACGAUGAUGUGAAUAGAAAGCCUCUAAUUCUUGUAAGUUCAGAUAAGUGGCUAUUGUUCCAAGAGUUGAAUGUGAGAAUGUCCAAAAUGCAACGAGCCCGGACAACAUUUGUGAGCACGAAAUUACAACAGGAGCUCUUAUGUCACAUAGGGCCUCUCUUCCUUCCAUGUUAGCGCCAACACAAUAUGUGUGGUCUUCAAUGUGAAGUCUCACAAGUCCAACAACAAGUGUAGAAAGUUCAACUAAUGCUAAUAUUAACUUCUUAUUAUUGAUAUAAUCAUACAGGUGUCAAAGUUAAUUACUCGGUAUUGGGCUUCCUAGCAAGUCAUACUGACAGUGAUUUCCAUUCACGUUUGACAGCGAUAAUCAAGAUGAAAUUGAUUUGAGCCAUUAUACAUCAACUCAGAUUUGUGGUGGAUGACGUAACAUCAUGUUUUCGAGCAAUAGUCAAAGAAAAUAAUUGGGCACAUUAUUCACUUUUUGUGAACUUGUUAAGGAAAUUUGAAGAUAUGUGGUUUGAGACGGGGAGAUGCAUCCUUGUUGGAGAAUUAUUGAAUUGCAAAAAGAUUGACUCGAUAUUUCAAAGAUAUUUCAAAGGAUUGUAAAUAAUAUAAAAGAUCAUUGCAACUUGAAAAUAAAUGAAGAUCUUUUAGAAAAAUUCCUUGUCCGCCACAAGCACUCAGUUUCAGAGUUACUUAGAGAAACCUUGGUACAUAGCUGGAGUGGGAUAUGUUGCCAAAGCUGCCAUACUCCCAAAUGCAUUUGACGAGAGUGCAUAUAAAACAGCAUUUAAAUAUUUAAGGAAGAAAUUUAGAGAUUUCAAUUUAGACGAUGAUGUGAAUAGAAAGCCUCUAAUUAUUGUCUUGGAUUCUGAAGUUCAGGUAAAUGAUUCAUUUUUUACUUUCUUAUUAUGUAGUUAUGAUAUACAUGUGUAUAUAACCAUAAUGUUGUAAGAACUGUGUCUAAGAGCGGGUGAAUUAAGUGUUAGGAAAUUUUCUUAUUGUUAGAGGUUUAGUAAUCGAUUUUUUUCUCGUUGGACAGUGUAGGACAACGAGUAAAUGACAGUAAAUUAAUGAACACAUAAUAUUAUCCUGGUUUCUUUUGUGACAAAGAGUACAUCCAGU